GCUUGUCUCAAAGAUUAAGCCAUGCAUGUCUAAGUAUAGUACCUUAUACUGCGAAACUGCGAAUGGCUCAUUAAAUCAGUUAUAAUUCAUUUGAUGGUACUUACUACUCGGAUAACCGUAGUAAUUCUAGAGCUAAUACAUGCAUUCAAGCCCCGACUUCUGGAAGGGGUGUAUUUAUUAGAUAAAAAUCAACUUUGUUGGUGAAUCAUAAUAACUUCUCGGACCGCAUGGCCUCGUGCUGGCGGUGCUUCAUUCAAAUAUCUGCCCUAUCAACUGUCGAUGGUAGGAUAGAGGCCUACCAUGGUUGCAACGGGUAACGGGGAAUAAGGGUUCGAUUCCGGAGAGGGAGCCUGAGAAACGGCUACCACAUCCAAGGAAGGCAGCAGG
rnacentral:rRNA from 1 species